GAAAUCAGUUCAGCACUAAGUCACUUUGUCUAUAUGGCAAAUGUGAGAUGCAGUGUAUGGAACAUCAAUAUUCUAGUAUGAGAAAUUAACGAUUUAAGUCCUUCUUAAAUGAGGCCAUUUACCCAUAGAGGGUGCCAGGCCCGUAUAACGUUAAUGAUUAUUAGAUGGUGUUUCCAAAGAGUCGUGUUGCUUGAUAGUGCAGCACUAAGUGGGUGGUAAACUCCAUCUAAAACUAAAUAUAACCAUGAGACCGAUAGUAAACAAGUACCGUGAGGGAAAGUUGAAAAGAACUCUGAAUAGAGAGUUAAAUAGUACGUGAAACUGCUUAGAGGUUAAGCCCGAUGAACCUGAAUAUCCGUUAUGGAAAAUUCAUCAUUAGAGUUGUAAUAUUUAAACAAUAUUAUAAUAAUAGUGUGCAUUUUUUCCAUAUAAGGACAUUGUAAUCUAUUAGUAUCAAUAAUUUAUCAAAAAAUUUAAGAAAAUAGUUUAUUUAAAUUAAAGUGCUUGCAUUUUAACAUAAAAUAAAUUUCAUAAAUUUGAUAAAGUGCUGAUAGAUUUAUAUGAAUACAGUGCGUUAAUUUUUCGGAAUUAUAUAAUGGCAUGAUUAUCAUUGAUUUUUAUGUUUAUUAUAUGCACUUGUAUGAUUAACAAUGCGAAAGA
rnacentral:rRNA from 1 species